AAUAAUUAUUCUCCUUAUUUAACGAUUAUAUUACAACGCAAUUAAGUGAAUAUUUGUGUUUAUUAUCUUAAAAAUUCUAAUUCUGACAUCUCGUAUCUAAUACCUACAGUGCUAUUAUACCCGAAAGUGAUAUUUCAAUGCAGAGAUAAGUCACUGAGUGCAAUUCUGAUUUUCCAUUUAUGUCAUUGCGUCUGUGUUUGUAUAAAAACGAAUUUCAUCGGUUGUAGGUAUCCGUGACACAGUUACGC